rfam:Triticum aestivum genome assembly, contig: Triticum_aestivum_CS42_TGACv1_scaffold_393665_5AS
GAAUGCGACCAUACCAGCACUAAAGCACCGGAUCCCAUCAGAACUCCGAAGUUAAGCGUGCUUUGGCGAGAGUGGUACUAGGAUGGGUCACCUCCUGGGAAGUCCUCGAGUUGCAUUCG